CCUACGGGAGGCAGCAGUGAGGAAUAUUGGUCAAUGGGCGGAAGCCUGAACCAGCCAAGUAGCGUGCGGGAUGAAGGCCCUACGGGUCGUAAACCGCUUUUGCACGGGGAUAACACCCUCCACUUGUGGAGGUCUGCAGGUACCGUGCGAAUAAGGGCCGGCUAAUUCCGUGCCAGCAGCCGCGGUAAUACGGAAGGCCCGGGCGUUAUCCGGAUUCAGUGGGGUUAAGGGGAGCGUAGGCGGGCGUUCAAGUCAGCUGUAAAAUCGCGGGGCUCAACCGCGCCCCGCAGUUGAAACUGGACGCCUUGAGUUCGCAACAGGCAGGCGGAAUUCGUGGUGUAGCGGUGAAAUGCAUAGAUAUCACGAGGAACCCCGAUUGCGAAGGCAGCCUGCCGGGGUGCGACUGACGCUGAGGCUCGAAGGUGCGGGUAUCAAACAGGAUUAGAUACCCCGGUAGUC
rnacentral:rRNA from 1 species